rnacentral:SRP_RNA from 10 species
GAUGAGAUGCAUGGGGCCGAUGUCGAUGCUGUACCACAGCGGAGAGGAGCUGCCGGAGGACUGCCAAGGCGACGGGAAUCGCGCCAGGUAAGAUA